CGCACAUUGCGCCCCCUGGCAUUCCGGGGGGCAUGCCCGUUCGAGCGUCAUUACACCACUCAAGCCUGGCUUGGUAUUGGGCGUCGGGAUGCACCCGCGCCUCCAUGUGAAUUCGGCUGGACGGUUUGGAUCUCAGCGUUGUGGCAACCAGUUCGCCGACGUGAAGGACCGGACGCGCCGUUAAACCUCCAUCAAAGGUUGACCUCGGAUCGGGUAGGGAUACCCGCUGAACUUAA
rnacentral:misc_RNA from 1 species